AUUGAACGCUGGCGGCAGGCCUAACACAUGCAAGUCGAACGGUAACAGGAAACAGCUUGCUGUUUCGCUGACGAGUGGCGGACGGGUGAGUAAUGUCUGGGAAACUGCCUGAUGGAGGGGGAUAACUACUGGAAACUGUAGCUAAUACCGCAUAACGUCGCAAGACCAAAGAGGGGGACCUUCGGGCCUCUUGCCAUCGGAUGUGCCCAGAUGGGAUUAGCUAGUAGGUGGGGUAACGGCUCACCUAGGCGACGAUCCCUAGCUGGUCUGAGAGGAUGACCAGCCACACUGGAACUGAGACACGGUCCAGACUCCUACGGGAGGCAGCAGUGGGGAAUAUUGCACAAUGGGCGCAAGCCUGAUGCAGCCAUGCCGCGUGUAUGAAGAAGGCCUUCGGGUUGUAAAGUACUUUCAGCGGGGAGGAAGGGAGUAAAGUUAAUACCUUUGCUCAUUGACGUUACCCGCAGAAGAAGCACCGGCUAACUCCGUG
rnacentral:rRNA from 1 species